rnacentral:rRNA from 1 species
AGGGAAUCUUCCGCAAUGGACGAAAGUCUGACGGAGCAACGCCGCGUGAGUGAUGAAGGUUUUCGGAUCGUAAAGCUCUGUUGCCAGGGAAGAACGUCUUCUGGAGUAACUGCCAGGAGAGUGACGGUACCUGAGAAGAAAGCCCCGGCUAACUACGUGCCAGCAGCCGCGGUAAUACGUAGGGGGCGAGCGUUGUCCGGAAUUAUUGGGCGUAAAGCGCGCGCAGGCGGCUGUUUAAGUCUGGUGUUUAAUCCUGGGGCUCAACCCCGGGUCGCACUGGAAACUGGGCAGCUUGAGUGCAGAAGAGGAGAGUGGAAUUCCACGUGUAGCGGUGAAAUGCGUAGAGAUGUGGAGGAACACCAGUGGCGAAGGCGGCCCCCUGGACAAAGACUGACGCUCAGGUGCGAAAGCGUGGGGAGCAAAC